AGAGUUUGAUCCUGGCUCAGGACGAACGCUGGCGGCGUGCUUAACACAUGCAAGUCGAACGAUGAAGCUGGAGCUUGCUCCGGUGGAUUAGUGGCGAACGGGUGAGUAACACGUGAGAAAUCUGCCCUUGACUCUGGGAUAACUGCGGGAAACUGUAGCUAAUACCGGAUACUUUCCUCGGUGGGCAUCCACUGGGGAAGAAAGAAUUUCGGUCAAGGAUGAUCUCGCGGCCUAUCAGCUAGUUGGUGAGGUAAUGGCUCACCAAGGCGACGACGGGUAGCCGGCCUGAGAGGGUGACCGGCCACACUGGAACUGAGACACGGUCCAGACUCCUACGGGAGGCAGCAGUGGGGAAUAUUGCACAAUGGGCGCAAGCCUGAUGCAGCAACGCCGCGUGAGGGAUGAAGGCCUUCGGGUUGUAAACCUCUUUUAGCAGGGAAGAAGCGAAAGUGACGGUACCUGCAGAAAAAGCACCGGCUAACUACGUGCCAGCAGCCGCGGUAAUACGUAGGGUGCAAGCGUUGUCCGGAAUUAUUGGGCGUAAAGAGCUCGUAGGCGGUUUGUCACGUCUGCUGUGAAAUUCCGAGG
rnacentral:rRNA from 1 species